CCUACGGGGGGCAGCAGUGAGGAAUAUUGGUCAAUGGUCGGGAGACUGAACCAGCCAAGCCGCGUGAGGGAUGAAGGUACAGAGUAUCGUAAACCUCUUUUGUCAGGGCACAAAGGCGGGGACGUUUCCCCGGAUGAGUGUACCUGAAGAAAAAGCAUCGGCAAACUCCGUGACAGCAGCCGCGGUAAUACGGAGGAUGCGAGCGUUAUCCGGAUUUAUUGGGGUUAAGGGGUGCGCAGGCGGUCUGUUAAGUCAGCGGUAAAAGCCCGGGGCUCAACCCCGGCCCGCCGUUGAAACUGGCAGUCUCGAGUUGGAGAGAAGUAUGCGGAAUGCGCGGUGUAGCGGUGAAAUGCAUAGAUAUCGCGCAGAACUCCGAUUGCGAAGGCAGCAUGCCGGCUCCACACUGACGCUGAGGCACGAAAGCGUGGGUAUCGAACAGGAUUAGAUACCCCUGUAGUC
rnacentral:rRNA from 1 species